UGACCGCCUCCUGGGUUAUUUUCUUUUCUCCCCCAGCUGCCCCAGGGAUCUGGUUUCCCGAAUCACUUGGCAAAUAACCAGCAGGUGGGCAGAUGUCUUUUUUGCGUUCCUACGGACGCGUAGGCAAGUUGGAUGCGCCGGAGUGAACAGCCAGGGUCCUAUCUCUCAGACGGCUCCCGGGCGGUGCUAGCAGGGAAGAGGGACGCGCCGGCUAAUGAAACACUACUAGCCCGGAAAGCCGGCCUGGACCUUCCACCCGGGGCAGCGAGUCUGGCAGCCCCUCGCCGCCGCCCCCUCCGACCAGAACAGACUGCGCUGCGAGCCCCGGGCUUCCGCCGCAGCGCGCAGAAAUUGGAGGUGCCAGAGGAGACCAGCAGCAGCACUUGA